UCCCGCAGGGCAUCGACGGACCCAAGGGGGAAAAGGGAGAGCCAGCAUCUGAAGCUCUACAGGAGAGCCUGGCCCAGAUCAUAGUGGAGCCAGGGCCCCCCGGACCUCCAGGGCCCCCAGGGCCCAUGGGUCUUCAGGGAAUCCAAGGUCCC